rnacentral:lncRNA from 1 species
CAGUUCUACAAGAAUCAAGUCAUUAGCCACUGCAGUCGCUGACCUACAGUACACCCUGGAGGGAAUUCGGGGUGGAAGAUCAGGAUGGAUUUUUGUUUGUUUGUUUUAGGGUAACAAAGGAUUUUGUGCCCUGGAAAAAACUGGCAAAACCAGCCCUCAGAUACGUAGCUAUAUUAAGAAGAAAAUGUUAGAAGCUCAUUUCCCCCCAUCUUCCUAUUCUUAGAAAAGCUCUAAAACCACUGACUAAGCACACUACCUGUUCCUCGAGAUGAGAGGCUACCAACCUUCUGCCAAGAUGUGCACUUGACUGUGUCCACACCCGUGUCAAAAUCAUACUUACAUGGCCUCCCCCUCUUACCUCUUUGGAAUGGCCCUCAGAGCUUUCUGAAAGGCUAAGUGCUGAGUUACAGUCCUCAGGUUGGCUCCAAUAAAAUUCUCCAUUUCUUCCUUAAAUUGACCAUUGAUUUUUUUUUUUUUUAUGUCUUUUUUAGGGCCUCACCCACAGCAUAUGGACGUUCUCAGGCUAGGGGUCAAUUCAGAGCUGCGGCUGUUGGCCUACGCACGUUCAGCCCUAUAUUUACACAGAGCAAGACUGAUACUCAGGGACAUUCAGUAAAUUACCUGUGGUCCUCUCACUAGCAAGGCAGAGCCAGGCUGGGAACCACGGCUGCCUUUCCAUCAAGCUGCCCUGCCUCUCAGAGCUUCUUGCGAAGUAUGUUUCAUUACCACACACACCAGGCUCAUUGGGCUCACCUGCAGGGAGCUGGCUCCGCCAGUGUCCUGGGAUGGGUUUGCUGCCUGGUUUUACUGCACUCUGGUUUCCUGAGACUCGAGAAGCAGUGAGUACGCCUACCCACUUCCCUGAAAAAGGCAAGAUAUUCACUCCAGAGUGAUGGGUGGAACAGCAGGACCUGCAGGCACGGAAACCGGUACUUCAGAACACUGCUGCAGUCAGGUAGGGACUUGCAGGGAGAGACACCUGUACAACCAGAUCCACCAACUCAGAGCAGAGACAGAGCCCCAGCUAACCACUGGACUCCUUAGCCCUCCCCCUCCUUUGCGAUUUGGGCUUCAAGCGUGGCUCAUCCAGAAGUGCCACCAGCACCCUUCGGUCCUGCUUGUCAUUGCUGGGCUUUAUUCCUAAGUCUUCUCUUGCAACUUGACAACAAGAUGGCAACUCUAAGCCUACAUUGUCGUUAUCGCUUAUGAAGUUAGGGGAGAAGACAGAACAUCGUUGCUUAAUGACUCUGGCAAGAGCCCCAGGGAGCACUGGGACUGGCCAGGUUUGGUAGUGUCCCCUUUCCAGGGGUAUGGGGUCAGAAUUUGAUUGUAUGGCCUCCUUGGGGUAAGGGGCAGGGCUCAAACCCACUGGAAGCAUGGGGACUGAGAAGGAUUUCCAUAGGUGUGGCUUAUUGCCCAGAAGGUCUGCUGGGGUGACAUCCUCUUGACCUUCGGGGUGCCACCUCCUGGCAGCGUGGACACUGUCAAACAAUCUGUUCCAGCCAGACUGCUGCUGGCUUCCAAGAAUAGCACAACAUUCAAAUCAGCUUAAACAGUGAGGAAAUGUGUUUAGUAGGCCACCUAACUGAAAACCCGGCAGCAGGUCGGCCCCCAGCCUGAUGUAGUCACCUAUGUAGUCAUGCCAGUUGGGGAAAUGACGGUCUUUUCAGUAGGAGGUGCUGGACAAGCGGAUGUCCACAUGCAAAAAAGUGAAUGUAAACACUGACCUCAGGCCAUGAGCAAAAUGGACGAUAGACCCAAAUAUAAGAACUAAAACUACAGCUUCUAGUAGAAAAUGUACAAGAAAAUCUUCAUGAUCUUGAUUUUGGGCAAAGAUUUUUUUUUUUUUUUUGGUCUUUUUGCCUCUUCUAGGGCCGCUUCCUGCUGCAUAUGGAGGUUCCCAGGCUAGGGGUCGAAUCGGAGCUGCAGCCGCUGGCCUACGCCAGAGCCGCAGCAACGUGGAAUCCAAGCCACAUCUGGGACCUACACCACAGCUCACAGCAACACCGGAUCCUUAACCCACUGAGCAAGGCCAAGGAUCGAACCCACAACCCCAUGGUUCCUAGUCAGUCGUUAACCACUGUUCCACGACGGGAACUCCAGGGCAAAGAUUUUUUAGCUAUGACAUCAAAAGCACAUUUUUUUUUUUUAGGGCCACGCCCACAGCAUGUGGAGGUUCCCAGGCUAGGGGUCUAAUUCGAGCUACAGCUGCUGGCUUACACCACAGCCACAGUCAUGCCAGAUCCAAGCCACAUCUGUGACCUACGCUACAGCUCAUGGCAACGCCAGAUCCUUAACCUACUGAGCGAGGCCAGGGAUCGAACCCAAAACCUCAUAGUUUCUGGUAAGAAUUGUUUCCACUGCGCCACGAUGGGAAUUCCCCCAAAGGCACCAUGAAAAAAACAUGAAGGACAAGACACAGAACUGGAAGAGAAUAUUGGCACAUCAAAUAUCCAGUAAAGUGCUUGUAUCUAGAAUAUACAAAGAACUCCUAAAAACUCAAUAAAAAGAUAUCCCAAUAAAAUGAGCAAAAGGUUUGAACAGAUAACUUUACCCAAAAAUGAUCUGUGGAUGGCAAAUGUACACGUAAAAAGAUCUCAAAUCAUGAAUCAUCAGGGAAAGGCCAAUUAAGACCACAGUGGAUUCCAUCACGGACUCAGUAGAAUGGCAAUAAUCCAAGGACUGACAACACCAAGUGCUGGUGAUGGUACGGAGGGCUGGGACCCUCACAGUCGGCAAGUGGGGGUGUAAAACGGCACCACUGUCUUUGGAAACAGUUGGUAGUUUCUUUAAAAGUUAAACACAUACACUUACCGUAUGACCCAGGCAAUCCCACUCCUACGUAUCUAUCCAAGAAAAAUGAAAAUGUUCAGAGCCCUAGUAUUCAUAAUAAUCCCAAACUGGAAGCAGUCCAGAUGUCUCUCAGUUUGUAAAUAAACAUGCUAUAGUCAUACCUUGGCAGGUGAGGUAGUCUAGAACACUGGUUAAAUGAACCUGGACAGGAAGUUCCUGUUGUGGCUCAGUGGUAACGAGCCAGACUAGUAUCCAUAAGGUUGCAGGUUCGAUUCCUCUCCUCGAUCAGUGGGUUUAGGAUCUGGCCUUGCCAUGAACUGUGGUGUAGGACACAGAUGGGGCUCAGAACCUGCGUCGCUGUGGCUGUGCUGUAGGCCAGCAGCUGUAGAUCGGAUUCGACCCCCUAGCCAGGGAACUUCCAUGUGCUGCAGGUGUGG